rnacentral:rRNA from 1 species
UACGGAAGGCAGCAGGGGGGAAUAUUGCACAAUGGGCGCAAGCCUGAUGCAGCCAUGCCGCGUGUAUGAAGAAGGCCUUCGGGUUGUAAAGUACUUUCAGUCGUGAGGAAGGUGUUAAGGUUAAUAACCUUAGCAAUUGACGUUAGCGACAGAAGAAGCACCGGCUAACUCCGUGCCAGCAGCCGCGGUAAUACGGAGGGUGCGAGCGUUAAUCGGAAUUACUGGGCGUAAAGGGCACGCAGGCGGUUAAUUAAGUUGGAUGUGAAAUCCCCGGGCUUAACCUGGGAAUGGCAUUCAAGACUGGUUAGCUAGAGUCUUGUAGAGGGGGUAGAAUUCCAUGUGUAGCGGUGAAAUGCGUAGAGAUGUGGAGGAAUACCGGUGGCGAAGGCGGCCCCUGGACAAAGACUGACGCUCAUGUGCGAAAGCGUGGGGAGCAAACAGGGAUUUAGAUACCCGU